UACGUAGGUGGCAAGCGUUGUCCGGAUUUACUGGGCGUAAAGAGCGCGCAGGCGGUCGGAUAAGUCGAAUGUGAAAGCCCCCGGCUUAACUGGGGAGGGUCAUUCGAUACUGUUCGACUGGAAGGCAGGAGAGGGAAGCGGAAUUCCCGGUGUAGUGGUGAAAUGCGUAGAUAUCGGGAGGAACACCAGUGGCGAAGGCGGCUCGCUGGGCUCUACCUGACGCUGAGGCGCGAAAGCGUGGGGAGCGAACCGG
rnacentral:rRNA from 1 species